UUGGGAUUGAGUGUGCAGUGCAGGCACGGCAGGGAGAAGGCCAGGAGCUCACAUGAGACUUCUUCCAGCUCUCAAGUGACCCACCAGAGAUCAAGAGGGAGAAAGAGAGGAGACAUUUCUGAUGAAAAGGAAAACAUUGAUAGCACUUAUGGGAGAAGAUAAGGGCAGCGACCAUGGCCAAGAAGAACAAAAGCUGCUGUCAACUGUCAUGAAACUCCAGGAGAUCUGACCUGAAGAAAAAGCAAACCACAGCUUCUGCUUUUACUGAACCCAUCGAGUCAAUGGUGCUCUCUCCUCACCCACAGGUCCCAAAUCAGCCCAGAAUGAUGAAAUGGAAGGUUUGCCAAAAUAGGUGAAAU
ensembl:lncRNA